rnacentral:rRNA from 1 species
GAAAAACGACUCUCGGCAACGGAUAUCUCGGCUCUCGCAUCGAUGAAGAACGCAGCGAAAUGCGAUACUUGGUGUGAAUUGCAGAAUCCCGCGAACCAUCGAGUCUUUGAACGCAAGUUGCGCCCAAAGCCUUUCGGCCGAGGGCACGUCUGCCUGGGUGUCACGCAACGUCGCCCCCAU